UAAGUGACUGUUUUAGCAUGUUUCAUGCAUCAUAAUAUCAUGUUAUAGUAGGGUGUAUUGCAUUUGCAAUCACGAAGAUGAUGCAUUGCAUAUUAUGUUGAUGAUGUGGAUGGACCAAGGCGACCCCAAUAGCCCGACAGUGUAUGUUUUAGAAGUCCUGAGGAGCCCCCUGAGGGCCGGGCAUAGUGCAUGUUAUAGAAGUCCUGAGGAGCUCCUUUGAGGGCCGGGCACAGAGCAGAGGGAGUUUUGGUGGUCAUGUCCAUCCGAGAUGUGAUUAGUUGUGAUGUGAUGCAUUCCAUGAUGGCAUAUGUUGUUAAUAUUUUUAUAGUUCUGCUCACUGGGCUUUAUAGCUCACCCCAUUCCUUAAACCCCAUGUUUUCAGGGCCUCAGAGAAAGAUCAGAGUCAGCAAGAGUAAAGAGUAAAGUCAGGACUAUGGCUAAGGUUAUGAGUUUGUAAUAGAAGUUUAGUGGAC
rnacentral:lncRNA from 1 species